GCAUUGGUGGUUCAGUGGUAGAAUUCUCACCUUCCAUGUGGGAGCCUCAGGUUCGAGUCUGGCUAUUUCA
rnacentral:tRNA from 1 species